UUGUAUUAGGAUUUGAGCUGUGUUCAAGAGGCUGGUAUCUUUGAUUGAUACCAAUGCUACUCCUCCCUUUCGCCCCUUUGUUCAUCGUUAUAUCGUCAACUCCUCUCGAGUUCUUAUGGUUGGCUAUGGUAAUGCACGCAAUUACGAAUCUUUAAUGCCCUACGCCACCACUAGGGCAUCUUCGAUUUCCGGCCUUUGCG
rnacentral:misc_RNA from 1 species